CCUACGGGUGGCAGCAGUCGAGAGGCUUCGGCAAUGGGGGAAACCCUGACCGAGCGACGCCGCGUGCGGGAUGAAGGCCCUCGGGUCGUAAACCGCUGUCAGAAGGGAAGAAUCCCCUCGGGUGAACAGCCCGAGGGUUGACGGUACCUUCAGAGGAAGCUCCGGCUAACUCCGUGCCAGCAGCCGCGGUAAUACGGAGGGAGCGAACGUUGUUCGGAUUUACUGGGCGUAAAGGGCGCGUAGGCGGCUUAGCAAGUCAGGGGUGAAAUGUCCCGGCUCAACCGGGGACUUGCCUUUGAAACUGCUGAGCUUGAGGUCGUGAGAGGAGACUGGAAUUCCUAGUGUAGCGGUGAAAUGCAUAGAUAUUAGGAAGAACACCAGUGGCGAAGGCGAGUCUCUGGCACGAAUCUGACGCUGAUGCGCGAAAGCUAGGGGAGCAA
rnacentral:rRNA from 1 species